AAGAACUCUUUGAUCCGAUUGCCAUGGUCGUCCGAGAAGAAUGUGACUAGCGUCCAUCGGUAGAAUGUCACACAUGAUCUCAUCUUGAUACUUCCCAAUUGAAAGAGGUACCUUGACUUGUUCUUUGACGGACAUCUCACCCGUGUCAUUGAGCCAUUGGAGUGAAUACGGUCUCGGGUGUUCAAGCACUUCUAAGCCAAG
rnacentral:lncRNA from 1 species